CUAUGGAGGUGAUGAGCUGCGUUGCGGGCUCCGGGCUGGCGGCUGGCUGGGCCUCGGGGCCACAUGCCCUCCCACGCCGGGGCGCCGGGCAGGGGAGCGCGAGCGCCCUGAGCCUGGUGAGGCGCCAGCAACAGCCAGGCCGGGUCUGACGGUUCCGGGCCGUGAAUGCGUGGAGGACAGCGGCCUGGCCUCGGCCACUUUCUCCGCGGCCCGAGGCCGCCUUCGGCCUGCGUUCCCUUGCCCGGAAAUGAGAUUAGUUUAGGUGGAGUUACGUUCAUUGAUCGUCGACUAUGUAUGCCAGGGAGUUUGUAACAUAGGCGGAGAUUUUUUCCGUGUAAGCGGGAAGCCCCCCCCCCCCCCCCCCGUUUAACUGCCUUCUACCUGCUCUACCCCACCGUAAAGUAACUCAGUGUAGAAGCCAAAGCCAUUCAAGGUGGAGACUAUCACAACUGCUUACAGGUGCAGAACUUGGCGGAAAUUGAAUGAGUGUCGCCAACCUUGCAGGUGAAAGAUGAGUCCUUGAAGUACAGACACCUGCCAGCUGAAUACCAUCUGGGAGCACAGAGGUGACUUUAAGGAUAUCCUUGGUGAGGAUUUUGAGAAUUUGAUCUUCACAAGAGUUGCUUGGAACAUUUAAAAAUUUCCAGGAGCCUGAGGAGUACUGAAAUAAUUACUUUUGGACAGUCCAUAAAUAUGAAUAAAUAUAUUUAAUGUGCUUGA